UUGUUACAUUCAGUUACUGUUUGAUAAUAGGAGGCGGAAGCUGUAACUUGGAGGCCUAAUGUUAUAACUUCAUCUCGACCAAUUAAAUCACAUAGAAGGUCAAACAUGCUAAAAAUAUCUGAAGACCUCUAAUGGAGAUUAUAAGCCUGCAAAUUCCCUAGACAUUCUUGCAUGUAAUCACUCAAGCACUUUUGGCAAUUUCUUUCAAUCAAGUAUGAACAUAACAGCUCAAAUUAUGCUAGAUGAAAGUUCUUUGUCACAUGUAUCUGUCUAGAAUAAGAGGCAGAAGAGAUGCUACACCAUUGUUUCAAGGCUCCCAUGACACUACUCGAGUUUUUAGCAUAAUCCGAGGAGUGCUAUUUCACACUUCUAGCAGUCCCUAAAAUCAUUAUCAACAACAACAACUAAGUUUUACUCCCAAACCCAAACUCCCUAAAAUCAUUACCAAAUCAAUUUUUUCAUGCUAUGCCACUGAAAGUAGUCACAAGUGUGCACAGGUGCACACACACACACAUCAA
rnacentral:misc_RNA from 1 species